GGACGGUUGAUGCCUAGGAGCGGCGCCCGAUAGGCUGGCGAGCGAGUGGGCGGGCCCGGCGCCGCCCGGCUGGCCCCCCGCCGGCUGGCCGAGCUGAGGAGGGGAAGAUGGCGGAGUGAGAGGAAGAGGCAGAGAGGCCGGGGCCGGCCGCGGCCCCGCGGCUUCGGCCGCGCUCAGGCUCACUGAAGAAAAUGUGGAUUGAUCAGAAAUAAUGCUCUGCCACAAACCUUGGGCGUGUUGCAGGUCUCCAGGUCUGUUUUUCCCCCAUCUUCAUAACAAAAAUAAAGACUUUCCUGAUGGUGACAAUGUGGAUGGUCAAGCCCAUGAUCAGCUGAAAUAUUUGAGUGCCUCAGAGAGAAAGUGACGGUGGCAUGCGCUGUAUUUCCAGUUUCAUGAGCUACUCGCUGCUUCUACCACACGAGUUGAAGAUCGUUGCUGGAAGAUUAUGUCUGAGCUCACUCAACUAAACAGCUAAGAUUCUCUCCUGACAUUCAAGAAGGUGGUCCUGUGCUUGCUCAUAGGCUGGUGGGAGAUGUGGAUGUUUCUCUUCUAGCAAGCAAAAACCUGUCCUUCACUUCCAUGGAGAUGAGUGAACAAAGAUCUCUCCACUUCCUGUUGCAGCCAUCUCAGCCAACCUUUGAUUCACCAGAUCACUUCUUCCACCCAAGUACCCCAUUGUUUUAUCAAAACUCAAAGCAGAGUGACAGAAAUCAGCACUUGUUUCCCUGAAGAAACAUCUUCUGUGCCAGCUCUUCAUCCAGCUCUCUGCAUUCUGAUUUUAAAAUGAGAAAUACCUAGCAAUCAGAUGGCAGCAGAAGCUGGUGUUGGUCACCGAAAUCUCCUUCUUCAUUUUAGGAAGGUUAAGCACUGCACUGUGUCAUAUCGGAGUUGUUAGCAGAUAAAGGGUCUGCAUGCAUUGCUAUGUCACACUGUCUUGACGUGUAUUAAAAGUUGCAGCAGGAAAAACUGAACCUGUUUUCUGCUCUGACAUAAGGAAGAAACUUAGCAAACAACCGGGGACAUCCCAUACAGGUAUUUUCUAGUCCAGGACCUAGGCUUGACUUUGUAGAUAGAAGUCUUGUUGUCAACUCACACGAAGCAGCUAAUGCACAGGAACAAACGCAGAACCACCUUGUCUGUAGUGUGCAAAUGCAUCAUCCCAGUCUGUGAUCAAAAUGUAUAUUUGCAUGUGUAAACCUAUGUAAGUGCUGGAUACGAAGAGCUUUCGCCAGGAGGAGAAGUUAACUCUGCGUCAUUUCAUUUUUAGCAAAGAAAAAUGAAGCUUUAAAGGCCUCUGGGGUAACAGGAGGAUGAUUGGGUUUACGCUAAAUCGUUCCUUCCCUCUGGCUUUUUGUGAAUCCUUAGCAGCAAAAGGAACAAAACCAUUCUACACUAGGAGAGGUGGGGCAGAACUUCGUUCUUUAUUGGUGGAAUUAACUUCUGGUGGGAUGGAGGAGACCAGAGGUGUGAAGUUGCAGUUUAUCCACUCAACUUCCUUGGCACAGUUUCAGCUUUUCAUACCACUGAUGGAAUCGGCCUUUUGAUUCUUCUGUGACUGAGAACUGAGAUGACCUGUGUGUUUCCAUCGUCUACAUAGAAAUAGGCCCAAGAGAAGGGGCUUAGCCAAGUGAGUUGAGAGAGAGCAGAAAUACUUAGGGUGGGCCUUUCUCUGGUUCCUCUUACUCCUUCCCAAACCACGGCGCAAUCUGUUGCUUUUAUGUUUACACAAGAUUCUGUGUUUCCAUCAGUUGUGAUUAUGGAGGUUGUUUUCUGUCCUUCUGAGGUGGGAGCCUGUACUGUUUACAUGCUCCCUUCUGUGAGAUUGUAUGUGGCAAGUAAGUUUUCCUGGCAAAAAAAACCACCCCAACCUAACAGAACUGGGAGGUAUAUUCCACUUCAAAUCUGGAGCUCUUCUUAGUGCACCUUAUUCCAAGCUUGUGAUUUAGAAAAUGUGACUUACUAGCUUAAAAUAGUGUUUUCCAAUUUGGAUCAAAUAAAGGUAUAUAGGUUCUGUUAAUAGAUCUGGGGAGAUAACUUGGUUGGGGGGGAGGGUGUUCUAGAUUUCUUGGUUUGUUCUGGUUUUCCUUUUAGGAAAGUACUAGAGAGAGACAGGCAGCCUGAGACUGUCUGAGAAAGCCAACAGUUGAAAUCCUCUGUAAACCUUAGCGCUAGGUUGCAAGGGCAGCGUCCUGAAAUGUAACAUGUGCUGACACUUUGUGAGACCAAGUUCCACAGCAGAGCAAGGACAAGUGCUGAUGUUGAUCCCAAUCUUCAGAGUGGAGUUGAGUUACAUCCGUGCUUAGGCUUGCGUCGUAACAAUAAGAUUUAAUGACGACUUGACCCGUUUUUUGUUUCCAUGAAGAUCAGACACGUAAGCGAAAGAGUCAUGGGCAAGACACUGCCUAUGAAGGUAAUGCCAAGUGCAGUGAGCAGAGAGGGGCACUGAACAUGUGUGUGACAUUGUGGUAAGAAUUACACUGAUCUUGAUGAGGCAACCACCGGCUUGGCCUGACUUUUAAGAGCAUGGUGUUUCUUUGCUGGACAGGAUUUGAGUUUUCUGGUGUGGGAGGCAACUAGCAAAGCACACGUCCUUUAGGGCCUCCUUACGUUGAAACCAAUGGGAUUUAGUGUAGAUGUCUGUAGAAGCAGGAUCCAUCUCUAAGUGAUGGAAAAUACUGUCAGUAUCGUAGGAUCAUGAGCGAUUGGGAGCUCUCUGCUGUGAGACGUUGGGUUUUCGAUCUGGGAAUGUCCUUUUGUUCUGUCUGCCCGUGCUUACCAUGUUAGAGCUAGCAGUUGCUUCUUGCUUAGCUUGAUGACAAAAUACUUGGGAGUCAGGAAGGUGUUUCUGUUUUCUGUGGACAUGUACAAAACCUAAGAAUGUGUCUGACUGGAGAGGAGACACUUCAAUCUCUUUGAUUUCGUUUUGCAUAGGAAUGACCCCCAAGAACCUGGAACCCUGCGUUGUAACAAUUAGAGUUGUUGCUUUUUCCUGACUCCUGUCCAUGACAAUGAAACAAUGUUGGCUUUCUAGUUUAAUUUUGGAACAUAAUGUUCUUUAGCAGGGCUCAAGGAUCCGUGGCUUUCACUGGAGAAAUACUCCAAUAGUGCAUGCCCAGAAGACCCCCAUUUGGCAUAACUUACUGACCAGCACCUGUAGAAAAGCGCUGUGUUAGGAAACGCUGCCUCAGCCUACUUAACUUCUCCUUGCUCCACUUUUCCUCUAUGUUGGUUGGAAACCUUCCCAUGUGAAAGAUGACAAAAACAAGGGGCGUGUGCAAUAGAUCAUAUAUAUAUAUAUACAUAUAUAUAUUUUAAUACUUGUGGACAAAACGAUGUUACAAGUUGUUUGGAAACAACAAAAUCACCAAUGUCUUCCAUUUUGAGAUGUGUAUAGUUCCAUAAGCAUUAGUGCUUUGUAGCAAUCUGUAGUGCCAUGUUAGGAUCAGUGCAUGAGCCUAGUAGUAUUUUUACAAUUUCAGAGUGACAAAUUUAUUAAUAAACAGUGAUGGUAAUGUAAUUAACAGUAGAAAGGAUACCAUAGGAAUCUUACAAACGUGCUCUAAACAUGCAGUAUCCUCCCUUUGACAAUGGCAACGCUCUUUAGAAACGGAAUGCAUUCACUUCAGGGGCUUCGUAGAGCCACAGCUGACUUUUUGUUUUUAGUCUCUCUGUCCAACUGCAAUAGUAAGCUAGUGUAUGUAAGUGUCCAGAACUCUCAUCUCUGUCAGUGGGGUUCUUUUGAGUCUUUGUUGAAGGUGUUUUCUUCUGUUGUUUUUAUUACUCAUCCUGCGAUAGACUCAGAAAGCUAUGAGUUUGUGUGCAUCCCCUACACGUCUACCCUCAGAUCCUUUACAAAAGCUGUUAAUUACUCUUUCUUUUCAGAUCUGACUAUAUAAUUGUUGUGACUAGUUAAACAAGGUAAUGGUUUCAAAAUGCUCUCUGCCAAUUACGCGUAGAACGCUUUUAUCCAUUAUUGCAGGAACAGAGAGCCCUUUUUGGCUGACAUCCUAGUGAAUCUUUUAACACCUGUAGUGGAUCCUGCAUUUACAUACAUCUUCAUCUUAAUAAUGAGAGAAAAUAUUAAGGUCAAGGGCUGUUGAAAAACAACAUUGCAAACUGUAUCUGUGCAGCAGGCUGUCUCAGAGAUUCCCCACCCCUGUGUUACUGAGAAUUCAAUACUUCCAGUAUUGCUUUCCAGCUCUAAGCUCAAUUUUCAUAAUCUCUGCCUCUCCCUCUGCUUUUCUCAGAAGGAAGGUUUAGACCAGGGGAAGUCCAAAUGAUUUGUCACUCAGUGGGCAGCUUGGACUGGUCAAAUAAGGGACUGGUGUGAUUCCCGAGAUGUGCAAUGCUCUGUGGAUGGCAUCCUCUGUUUCCUAGGAAAAAGCCUUUUCUUUGGUGCCAGUGUUGCUCUUCGCCCAUUUCUCUCUUUUACAAGAACAAAGCUCUCUUUCAACUUAGAGAGGAUACUGCAUCUUUUUUUUUUUUCUUGAGACCUGCCUGUAAAUGGCCAUGAGGGGGAGGGAGGGAGGGAGGGAGUGGGUAGCUUGGUUUUCUCAUUUAGAUACGAUAUCUCUCUGAAGUAAUGAAUCAAGCAGCAGGUUCCUUGGUGCAAAACCAGUGAUCCAUGCAGAGGUCAUGUACCUAACGGGGGAAAAACAACCCCAAACCUAAACAAGCAACCCUCUGCAUCUAAUGCAUUUCCAGGAAGAUUGGGCGGGUGGGCCAUUUACAGCAGAGCUCUGGGGGACCUGUGCUGAGAGUUAGGUUCAAUUCUAAAUUGAAGUAGCUGUAUCAUUUAAUGAAGUAGUUUAGUGCUUGGGAGAAUCAAUUGCAAAAUACCUCUGAAACUGGAAUGCAAAAUAGCACAGUAUGUAGGGGGAAGUAUCCCUGAUGCAAACAAAGCCAUAAGAUGAUUUAAUAAGAAAAUAGAACUUUAGUAGCAAUAACUGUUUUGCAUGUGAUAGUAAAUAACUUGCAUUAGCAAGGCUGUACAGUAGAGUAAGUGGGUAAUAACCAAAUAAGUUUGUGGCGCUCUGUGCUGCAGGGAGUUGCGUGACGAGUCUCUUCCUGAGAAGAUGGGUGAAUCCCUCUUAUGUUCCUCUCAUUGGAGGGAGUUUGGCACUUGAAUACUUAGUGAGUAAACUUGAUGUUAAAGAAGGAGCCCAAUGUUAGCUUUGUGACGUGUCUGAAGCACCGUCAGCGCAUGCUGGGGGAAGGGCAGGCAGUUCCUUCUGAAAGGAUAGCUGAAGCUUUCCUCUGGUUUUUGGUUUUUCUUUUUUGUAGUGUAGCACUUCUUCUCUUUCUUGGAGAACAAACUGAACCCUUCCAAAUACUGGUCUGUGACGAGAACCUGAUUCUGAAGCUCUUAGAGUGGGACGUACUUGUUAACAGCAAGAAACCAAUGUUUGCCUUGUCAAACACUCUGUUUCACACCAUAAUUGGUUUCUGUUGCUGCCUGAAGUUUCACAGGGCAAAGUACUGUGAGCCUCUGGUAACACAAAGGGUUAUUGAUCUACAGCAGCAGCCUCUGCAUCCAGCAAAGUAUUUGCUGUCAGAGGGUUACAUAAGAGAGUCACUGGAGCUGUGGUAUGUCCAUAGUUGAUGCUGUUUUCAGUGCAGAUACGGAGUCCAUAGAGACAAUAUGGCCCAACAGACAAUAAUACAUUCUGAAGAGAAUUAUUAACUCAGAGGUUUAGAUCCAUCUGUCUGGAUUUCUUCUAGAAGCUGGAGUAAUUUGGACUGGAACUUACAGCUAGAGACUUCUAAUUUUCCAAAAUGAUGAAGGUGAAGCUCUUUGUAAGUUGAUAAUGGAGCUGGGAGGAUUUUUGCAGUAUAAAGUAGCCAAGACAAGCAUCAGAAUGUCUAAAUUAAGUGCUGGCUAAAACAUAGUAUGUGUGUGAAAAGCUAAUUGAUCUGAAAGGUUGUAAUCAGCUUAAAUUCCACCUACUGAAUUAUUGAGAAAGCUGGAAGCUGGCCGUAGGGGACCUUAAUGUGAUGGUGAUCUGAUGACAUUAGAGAAGCUGUAAAUGUGUUCUGCUCUGUGGCCAGCGAGUACAUUGACAUAGUAAUGAAAACACAGCCAUGUUCAUGCUUCAGAAGUGGGAACUUGGUGGCUGAACAGAAUCCUGUUUAUUCCUUCAGAGAAGGAGGAGAGGAAGUCACUAUCUGCAUAUCCUUCCCAGUUCAGACUUUUGAUAAGGAUUUGUGUUCCAUGGGCUACUGGACGAUAAAUUACUAUCCACAGCAACAAAAGGAAUCUCUUUGCCUCUCAGCUCUUGUACUAUGAUAUGACUUUGGCUCCAAGCCCCUUAAUUUCCCUGCUUCUAAAACAAAGUGGAAGUGUGAGAUGCUACCGUAUUUCAGCAUGGGAUAUCAACGUUGUAGUGACCAGUUGUGCCUCCUUUAGCAGUGCUAAACCCAGAUGACACAAGUACAUUCUGUUUCCAUACCCAGUAGUGCUGCUGCAGAAGGUGCAGCCAGUACUUGUGUUGGAAACUCUAGUUUCAGGAAUUGCACCUUCUGCAACUGAGGACAAUUGCAAAAAACCUCCUUGAUGGUGAGGGAGAAGAAAUUCUACUGAGCUUCAGGACACUGACACUUUACACAAGGAUUGCAUUGUCAAGAGCUGGCAGUGUGUCUGGGACAGAGAAAGGAAUACUCAGAACAGCUUUUGAUGGAUAACCAGUCUUAGAAAUAACUGCUUCCUGCAUCCCUAGGAAACUGUCUGGUCUUCCUCCAAAACUAACCAUCCUGCUUGCUGUUCAGGUACAGAGCUGCUGAAUGGCAGUGCAAGUUAGAUUCCACUGGCUUUCUUUUACUGAGGGAUCCAGCAUUUUGCCCUGUAGCGCUCUGACUGGCGCACAAAAGCCAACAGUUAACCAGGAUCUCUUGUUUGACAGUGCAGAAGGCUAAGCAUGGAUUCUGAUGUCUGUUUCCUUUCAGUCUGCUCUGCACUUUUUCCUGAGGUUGUGUUGGUGUCGAUGGUGUGAGCAGAGGGUAUUUCUGUCUCUGAGCCUACAUACCAGGCUAUAUAGUAUAGACAGAUUACCUAAGGACAAAGAUCAAAGGUUACUUACUGUUACAACACACUGUUGAGUGUCUCCUGUGUAAAUCCUGCCUGCUGCUUUCCACUUCCCCUCCAGAUGGGGGUGUGUGCAGGUCAAGUGAAAGGUGGCCGGAUGGUAAUGCCUCAGGCCUGAAGAACGGCACGGAGAGACUGAAGGAGAGCAGCACAGGCCCACAAACCAAAUCGUAGAGCUAGUGUUCUAAUUAUGCAUGAGUCAAAAUGUCUAGUGUAAUGUAGUUACUACCAGUACAUUGAGAUAUGCAUUUAUACAUAAUGAAGCAAUAGGAAUUAAUAUACCAAUAGCUUGAACUUCCUGCUUUGAUUCUCGAAAUUGUGGCUUUUUAGAGAAUGUGCUGCCCCUGUAGAGAAAGGGGCAGGAUGUAUAGAUAGGGACAGAAGCAUGGCACCAAAACUGUAAAUCAGGACCCAAGAUCAGCAGAACUCGCCUUUAGAGCCUCAGCUGGUUGGUGUUCGAGCCCUGAGCAUGUACAAAGCGGGGCACGAACUAAGCGUGUUCAGGGGCGAGAGGAGGUUUCUCACCUGCUGCAGCUGUAGCAAGGAAAAGGGUGCAGAGUUUCUUACAAGGUGCAGGGGGGGAGCAACUAGUGUGGAGAAAAAAAACACAACCCACAAACCAACACAAAAAAAACCCCAAGUAACGGAAACCACAGACUCAAACCGAGCAGAGUAUUUGCCAGACAGGAGGUAAUGAGCUUGGGUGUGGAGAAAUUCUUUGGAGAAGACUGAAAUUAAUAAGCACAGUACAUAUAUUUCAGGUGUUGAAUAGCUUUUUAAUAGACAGUAUUUUCAGGUAACUCUCUAGCCACAUAGGCAGCUGUACUGAAGCUUACUGGUACCAGCCAGCAAUAAUGGCACCUGCAGGAAUGAACCUGAAAAUACAGGUAAUCUUGUAUAUUUUUUAAGUUCUUUAAAGAGAUUUUUAGAAACAGAACAAUGAGAUUUGAUCACUGAAGGUCUUUAUCAUCUGCAACACAGGUUGCAAUAGCCUUUUCUUUCUUUAUUUCACUUAAAGGGACUUUGGGUGUCAUCUUUCUGUAAUGUUUGGUGUGUUCUCUGUAAUAUUUCCCAAGUCUUCUAGUGAAUAAUGCAGUGAAUUUCUGCUGGCAGUUUGAGACUAACACAGAACUGUGUGGCACAGCCUACGUCACUAAUAGUUUUCCAAGUUGAAAUGUGCAUUCAGGCCCAUAGAACAGAAGCUUGUUACUGCAGCAUUCCAUCCUUCUAAGCUUAGCUUAAUUUCGUAGGUGGGCUUAACUUGUGCAGGACACUUCUCUGUGUGCAGAGGCUGGGUCCUCUUUCUGAAGUAGAAAGAGGAGGUGUCUUGUGAGGAAGAAAUUGUGUGUCAAGUUAAUGUUCAUGCUUUGUAGCCAACCAUCCCUAAAGCACCAUGGUUUGGGUUUAGAACGGGGGUUGCCUUUUUCUCACGAACACUCUUUCUAGAUACACAACAGCUGCCGAGUGAAGAUCUUACAGGAGGAGGUGACUACUUCACGGUCUCAGAAGUUAAGACUGUUAAACGCUUUGAGUCUCUUUCUUCUAGCAAAAAGGGAGUUUGUGAAACAGGUUUAGCCCAGCAGUGAGCCAUGGUCGCCUAAUUCUUAAGUGGCUGUUCUUUGGAGUGCUUUGCAUGGUUUUAAACUCUGUUGAAUGUGUUUUCUUUCGUGUGAUGAGCAAGCAGUUGUAUCCUUUGUUUAAUGCUUAUUUCCUUCAACAUCCAACCUAGGGAAUAAGCUGCUUUUAGGAUGUCAGAGAAGAUACCCUCCUUUUGAAGAGUAUGACAUAACAUUAAAGGAGAACUAUUAGUUACAGGUUCUUAAAAAUUACCUUAGUACUUUAACAGAAAGGCUAGAAAAUAGGUGUUACACCGAACUUCUGAUGGCGUGCUCGCGUGGAUUAGUGGAGGAAAUGACGGCUGUCACCAAGAGCUACGUACUCCAGUUGCACACGUUGUACAUGGUAACAGUGAAAGAAUGUCUCCCUGCAAAUUCUGAUGUUUUUCCAAAAGGCAGCUUGCUUUUAUAUCUAUGCAUAUUUGAGGAUUUAAAGAUAAGAUUUUAUUCUUUUGACACUGUAAAGAGGAACUGUUUAAAAAUGAACUUGGAAACUCUGCACCUGUAUACAAUUUUUUUAGCAAUAAAGCAGCACAGGCUGAGAAUGCACUAAAA